rnacentral:rRNA from 1 species
UACGAAGGGGGCUAGCGUUGCUCGGAAUUACUGGGCGUAAAGGGCCAGUAGGCGGCCAACUAAGUCCGACGUGAAAUCCCCAGGCUUAACCUGGGAACUGCGUCGGAUACUGGAUGGCUUGAAUUCGGGAGAGGGAUGCAGAAUUCCAGGUGUAGCGGUGAAAUGCGUAGAUAUCUGGAGGAAUACCGGUGGCGAAGGCGGCAUCCUGGACCGACAUUGACGCUGAAUGGCGAAAGCUAGGGGAGCAAACGGG